GAUGAACGCUGGCGGCGUGCCUAAUACAUGCAAGUCGAGCGAACAGACGAGGAGCUUGCUCCUCUGACGUUAGCGGCGGACGGGUGAGUAACACGUGGAUAACCUACCUAUAAGACUGGGAUAACUUCGGGAAACCGGAGCUAAUACCGGAUAAUAUAUUGAACCGCAUGGUUCAAUAGUUAAAGACGGUUUUGCUGUCACUUAUAGAUGGAUCCGCGCCGCAUUAGCUAGUUGGUAAGGUAACGGCUUACCAAGGCAACGAUGCGUAGCCGACCUGAGAGGGUGAGCGGCCACACUGGAACUGAGACACGGUCCAGACUCCUACGGGAGGCAGCAGUAGGGAAUAUUCCGCAAUGGGCGAAAGCCUGACGGAGCAAAGCCGCGUGAGUGAUGAAGGUCUUCGGAUCGUAAAACUCUGUUAUUAGGGAAGAACAAAUGUGUAAGUAACUAUGCACGUCUUGACGGUACCUAAUCAGAAAGCCACGGCUAACUACGUG
rnacentral:rRNA from 1 species